UGCGGCUGUGGCGGAAUUGGUAGACGCGCAGCGUUGAGGUCGCUGGAGGUUAAAACCUCGUGGAAGUUCGAGUCUUCAGCCGCACC
rnacentral:tRNA from 1 species